AGCGAACGCUGGCGGCAGGCUUAACACAUGCAAGUCGAGCGGGCAUCCUUGUGGUGUCAGCGGCAGACGGGUGAGUAACGCGUGGGAACGUGCCCUUCGGUUCGGAAUAACUCAGGGAAACUUGAGCUAAUACCGGAUACGUGCGAGAGCAGAAAGGUUUAUCUGCCGAAGGAUCGGCCCGCGUCUGAUUAGCUAGUUGGUGAGGUUAUGGCUCACCAAGGCGACGAUCAGUAGCUAGUCUGAGAGGAUGAUCAGCCACACUGGGACUGAGACACGGCCCAGACUCCUACGGGAGGCAGCAGUGGGGAAUAUUGGACAAUGGGGGCAACCCUGAUCCAGCCAUGCCGCGUGAGUGAUGACGGCCUUAGGGUUGUAAAGCUCUUUUCUCCGGGACGAUAAUGACGGUACCGGAGGAAUAAGCCCCGGCUAACUUCGUG
rnacentral:rRNA from 1 species